GCCCCCAUCGUCUAGAGGCCUAGGACACAUGGUUCUCAGCCAUGCGGCCGGGGUUCGAAUCCCCGUGGGGGUGCCA
rnacentral:tRNA from 1 species